AUGCUCACAGCAACAUGUAUACUAAAACUGAAAUGAUACAGAGAAAAUUCACAUGUCCCUGUGCAAGGAUGACAUACAAAUUCAUGAAGCAUUCCAUAUUUUU